GGAGAGAUGUCCGAGUGGUUUAAGGAGCUAGUCUUGAAAACUAGUGACUCGAAAGAGCCCAGAGUUCGAAUCUCUGUCUCUCCGCCA
rnacentral:tRNA from 1 species